rnacentral:lncRNA from 1 species
AUGGGCUGUCUUCCUCUGCAGUGUCUUGAAUGCUGUUGCUCUGUGGCUUUUCCAAGGACGUGGCAGUUUUCUGGAGCACUGGAGGGUUCCACAGGAGCUGCCCCCAGAUGCCUUCUGUAUUGCCUGGACCUGGUGCUUCCAGCUGUCAGCUCUGGAGCUGAUAUAGCAGCCCUGUGUUUGAGCAGCUGCAGCCCUGGGAAAGUUGUCUUACAGAGUGAAAGGACACCCAGGCUUCUGGCAGAACUGCCAGGUGGCCUCACAGGAGAUACCUACGUGGACAUAGGACAUCAGUUCUGGGAACAGCUGUUGGUGACUCCUGUUUUCCUGGAAGGGCUUGGGCAUAAGAACUCUAACAACGUUUUUCACGCUCUGUGGAUGUCAUUAAUGGAUGAGGUAAGUGGUGUACUCAACCACUGGCUGAUUCCAAAGUGA